rnacentral:rRNA from 1 species
UACGUAGGGGGCAAGCGUUGUCCGGAUUUAUUGGGCGUAAAGAGCGUGUAGGCGGCCAGGUAGGUCCGUUGUGAAAACUCGAGGCUCAACCUCGAGACGUCGAUGGAAACCAUCUGGCUAGAGUCCGCAAGAGGAGAGUGGAAUUCCUGGUGUAGCGGUGAAAUGCGCAGAUAUCAGGAAGAACACCCGUGGCGAAAGCGGCUCUCUGGAACGGUACUGACGCUGAGACGCGAAAGCGUGGGGAGCGAACAGG